rnacentral:lncRNA from 10 species
GAGAAUGAGCUGCAAGCAGGCCCUUGGAACACAGGCAGGUCCUUGGAACACAGGGUAAGGACUCUUAGAUCCAGUGCUUUGCUGACACAACAAAGACUUCACAUUUAGGGUAGAGAAGUAUUUUUACCAUCUCUUUUAAUUCCUCUUGAAUAUUUAGCCAUGGUCUAUAUAUGCUGUCUGAGAACAUAAAACUAUGGUAAUUUUAGUUUUCUUCUUCAUCUCCAGCCUCGUGGCAAUACAGCUUCACUGAUAGCUGUACCCGCUGUGCUUCCCAGUUUCACUCCAUAUGUGGAAGAGACUGCACGACAGCCAGUUAUAGUCUUGCUCUGUUGCCCAGCAGGCUGAAGUGCAGUGGCACCAUCUCAGCUCACCGCAACCUCGACCUCCUGGUUCAACGGGCAUGGCAGCCCACGUUUGCCAUCCCAGCACUUUGGGAGGCCAAGGACACCAUGUAAAAUUGAACCUAGUAUAAACCACAUCCUAAGCACCAGAAAGCCUGGAAAGGAAGAAGGAGAUCCUCUACAAAGGGUUCAGAGCCAUCAGCAAGCGUCUGAGGAGAAGAAAGAGAAGAUGAUGUAUUGUAAGGAGAAGAUUUAUGCAGGAGUAGGGGAAUUCUCCUUUGAAGAAAUUCGG